rnacentral:misc_RNA from 1 species
GAUGAAGAACGUAGUGAAAUGCGAUAAGUAAUGUGAAUUGCAGAAUUCAGUGAAUCGUCGAAUCUUUGAACGCACAUUGCGCCCGCUAGUAUUUUGGCGGGCAUGCCUGUCCGAGCGUCAUUUCAACCCUCAAGCCCCCGGGCUUGGUGUUGGGGAUCGGCGAGCCUCCGCGCCCGCCGUCCCCUAAAUCUAGUGGCGGUCUCGCUGUAGCUUCCUCUGCGUAGUAGCACACCUCGCACUGGGAAACAGCGCGGCCACGCCGUUAAACCCCCAACUUCUGAACGUUUGACCUCGGAUCAGGUAGGAAUACCCGCUGAACUUAAGCAUAUCAAUAAGCGGAGGA